rnacentral:tRNA from 1 species
GGUGGCUCAGUGGUAGAGCGCUUGUCUUGCAUGCAUGGGACCCUGGGUUCGAUUCCUUGGCACCA